UUGCAUACCUUGUCUUCCCUUUGUCUUAACUUUUAAAGGGCCAGACUCUCUGUACGUCAUCAGUUGAUAACCCAAUAGAAGUACUAGAGGUGUGGUUAUCUUCCAGAUCGCAAAUUAGGUAUUUGGUCUAUAGAGGGCAGUCUUGUCCCACUAAACAUACCUAUCCAGGAAAGAGUUAACUUUUCCUGGUGGCUAUUUUGACGUCAUUUUGGCCUAUCUCUAUCUUUGCUAUAACUUAGAUUGCUGUCAGAUAAAAACAGUUUCUUUAAGUUUUGUCCAGACUAUGUGUCUGCAAAUCUGAGUUUUGACCUGUAACUUACAAUGGGACCUUAUAGAUAUAGACAGUUAAAUUUUAUUAUUUAAUCUUCUCUGUCACAAUUGUCUGGGUUUAGAUUUGAUUAUAUUCCAUUAGCAUUAGACAGUCUGUCCAACCCCCUUUCUUCUUAUCACUUUUGUUUAUAAUAUGCAUUCCUUUAGCGCUGGGAAAGUGGUUAGUUUACAGAUAGAAAUCUUGUGUCUUUUUGUUAACUUGGAAAUAACAAAAUGGAGUCUGCUCUGUUCAGAGUCACUCAAAA